AGAGUUUGAUCCUGGCUCAGAACGAACGCUGGCGGCGUGGAUUAGGCAUGCAAGUCGAACGCGAAAGAGGGGGCAACCCCUUGAGUAGAGUGGCGAACGGGUGAGUAACGCGUGAGGAACCUGCCUUCGACAGGGGGAUAACACUCCUAACGGGGUGCUAAUACCGCAUGAGACCACGGGGGUCGCAUGGCCCUGAGGUCAAAGAUGGCCUCUAUUUAUAAGCUAUCGGUCGAAGAUGGACUCGCGUCCCAUUAGCUAGUUGGCGGUGUAACGGACCACCAAGGCGACGAUGGGUAGCUGGUCUGAGAGGAUGGUCAGCCACACUGGGACUGAGAUACGGCCCAGACUCCUACGGGAGGCAGCAGUCGAGAGGCUUCGGCAAUGGGGGAAACCCUGACCGAGCGACGCCGCGUGAGGGAUGAAGGCCCUUGGGUUGUAAACCCCUUUUGUUCGGGAAGAAAUGCGAUCAGGUUAAUAAUCUGGUCGUUUGACGGUACCGGACGAAUAAGCUCCGGCUAACUCCGUGCCAGCAGCCGCGGUAAUACGGGGGGAGCAAGCGUUGUUCGGAAUCACUGGGCGUAAAGGGCGUGUAGGCGGUCAGGUAAGUGGGAUGUGAAAUGCCCCGGCUCACCCGGGGACCGGCAUCCCAAACUGCUUGGCUUGAGUAUGGGAGAGGAUGAGGGAAUUCCUGGUGUAGCGGUGAAAUGCGUAGAUAUCAGGAGGAACACCGGUGGCGAAGGCGCUCAUCUGGCCCAAUACUGACGCUGAGGCGCGAAAGCUAGGGGAGCAAACGGGAUUAGAUACCCCGGUAGUCCUAGCCGUAAACGGUGAUCACUAGGUGUUGGAGGCAUCGACCCCUCCAGUGCCGCAGCUAACGCAUUAAGUGAUCCGCCUGGGGAUUACGGCCGCAAGGUUGAAACUCAAAGGAAUUGACGGGGGCCCGCACAAGCGGUGGAGCAUGUGGUUUAAUUCGACGCAACGCGAAGAACCUUACCCAGACUUGACAUGCAUUGGACGCGUGUGGAAACACACGUUCCCUUCGGGGCCGAUGCACAGGUGCUGCAUGGCUGUCGUCAGCUCGUGUCGUGAGAUGUUGGGUUAAGUCCCGCAACGAGCGCAACCCUUGUCCUUAGUUGCUAACGGGUAAAGCUGAGCACUCUAAGGAGACUGCCGGUGAUAAACCGGAGGAAGGUGGGGAUGACGUCAAGUCCUCAUGGCCCUUACGUC
rnacentral:rRNA from 1 species